UGGGGAAUAUUGCACAAUGGGCGAAAGCCUGAUGCAGCAACGCCGCGUGAGUGAUGAAAGGCCUUCGGGUUGUAAAAGCUCUGUCUUUUGGGACGAUAAUGACGGUACCAAAGGAGGAAGCCACGGCUAACUACGUGCCAGCAGCCGCGGUAAUACGUAGGUGGCAAGCGUUGUCCGGAUUUACUGGGCGUAAAGGAUGCGUAGGCGGAUUUUUAAGUGAGAUGUGAAAUACCCGGGCUUAACUUGGGUGCUGAUUUCAAAACUGGGAAUCUAGAGUGCGGGAGAGGAGAAUGGAAUUCCUAGUGUAGCGGUGAAAAUGCGUAGAGAUUAGGAAGAACACCAGUGGCGAAAGGCGAUU
rnacentral:rRNA from 1 species